GGCGGCAGGCCUAACACAUGCAAGUCGAGCGGUAACAGAAAGAAAGCUUGCUUUCUUUGCUGACGAGCGGCGGACGGGUGAGUAAUGCCUGGGAAUAUGCCUUAGUGUGGGGGAUAACUAUUGGAAACGAUAGCUAAUACCGCAUAAUGUCUUCGGACCAAAGAGGGGGACCUUCGGGCCUCUCGCGCUAAGAUUAGCCCAGGUGGGAUUAGCUAGUUGGUGAGGUAAAGGCUCACCAAGGCAACGAUCCCUAGCUGGUCUGAGAGGAUGAUCAGCCACACUGGAACUGAGACACGGUCCAGACUCCUACGGGAGGCAGCAGUGGGGAAUAUUGCACAAUGGAGGGAACCCUGAUGCAGCCAUGCCGCGUGUAUGAAGAAGGCCUUCGGGUUGUAAAGUACUUUCAGUCGUGAGGAAGGCAUUGUAGUUAAUAGCUGCAGUGCUUGACGUUAGCGACAGAAGAAGCACCGGCUAACUCCGUG
rnacentral:rRNA from 1 species